rnacentral:rRNA from 1 species
GAUGAACGCUAGCUACAGGCUUAACACAUGCAAGUCGAGGGGCAGCAUGACGAUAGCUUGCUAUUGUCGAUGGCGACCGGCGCACGGGUGAGUAACGCGUAUCCAACCUUCCCGUUGCUAGGGGAUAACCUUGCGAAAGUAAGACUAAUACCCUAUGAUGUUCUUCGCAGGCAUCUAAAGAGAACGAAAGAUUUAUCGGCAACGGAUGGGGAUGCGUCUGAUUAGGUUGUUGGCGGGGUAACGGCCCACCAAGCCCACGAUCAGUAGGGGUUCUGAGAGGAAGGUCCCCCACAUUGGAACUGAGACACGGUCCAAACUCCUACGGGAGGCAGCAGUGAGGAAUAUUGGUCAAUGGACGGAAGUCUGAACCAGCCAAGUAGCGUGCAGGACGACGGCCCUAUGGGUUGUAAACUGCUUUUAUGUGGGAAUAAAGUGAGGGACGUGUCCCUUUUUGUAGGUACCACAUGAAUAAGGACCGGCUAAUUCCGUG